GAGAGUUUGAUCCUGGCUCAGAUUGAACGCUGGCGGCAGGCUUAACACAUGCAAGUCGAGCGGAAACGAUGAUAGCUUGCUACCACGCGUCGAGCGGCGGACGGGUGAGUAAUACUUAGGAAUCUACCUAGUAGUGGGGGAUAGCACGGGGAAACUCGUAUUAAUACCGCAUACGACCUACGGGAGAAAGGGGGCAGUUUACUGCUCUCGCUAUUAGAUGAGCCUAAGUCGGAUUAGCUAGAUGGUGGGGUAAAGGCCUACCAUGGCGACGAUCUGUAGCUGGUCUGAGAGGAUGAUCAGCCACACCGGGACUGAGACACGGCCCGGACUCCUACGGGAGGCAGCAGUGGGGAAUAUUGGACAAUGGGGGAAACCCUGAUCCAGCCAUGCCGCGUGUGUGAAGAAGGCCUUUUGGUUGUAAAGCACUUUAAGCAGUGAAGAAGACUCCGUGGUUAAUACCCACGGACGAUGACAUUAGCUGCAGAAUAAGCACCGGCUAACUCUGUGCCAGCAGCCGCGGUAAUACAGAGGGUGCAAGCGUUAAUCGGAAUUACUGGGCGUAAAGGGAGCGUAGGUGGCUCUAUAAGUCAGAUGUGAAAUCCCCGGGCUCAACCUGGGAACUGCAUCUGAAACUGUAGAGCUAGAGUAUGUGAGAGGAAGGUAGAAUUCCAGGUGUAGCGGUGAAAUGCGUAGAGAUCUGGAGGAAUACCGAUGGCGAAGGCAGCCUUCUGGCAUAAUACUGACACUGAGGCUCGAAAGCGUGGGUAGCAAACAGGAUUAGAUACCCUGGUAGUCCACGCCGUAAACGAUGUCUACUAGUCGUUGGGUCCCUUGAGGACUUAGUGACGCAGCUAACGCAAUAAGUAGACCGCCUGGGGAGUACGGCCGCAAGGUUAAAACUCAAAUGAAUUGACGGGGGCCCGCACAAGCGGUGGAGCAUGUGGUUUAAUUCGAUGCAACGCGAAGAACCUUACCUGGUCUUGACAUAUCUAGAAUCCUGCAGAGAUGCGGGAGUGCCUUCGGGAAUUAGAAUACAGGUGCUGCAUGGCUGUCGUCAGCUCGUGUCGUGAGAUGUUGGGUUAAGUCCCGCAACGAGCGCAACCCUUGUCCUUAGUUACCAGCGGGUUAAGCCGGGAACUCUAAGGAUACUGCCAGUGACAAACUGGAGGAAGGCGGGGACGACGUCAAGUCAUCAUGGCCCUUACGACCAGGGCUACACACGUGCUACAAUGGUAGGUACAGAGGGCAGCUACACAGCGAUGUGAUGCGAAUCUCAAAAAGCCUAUCGUAGUCCAGAUUGGAGUCUGCAACUCGACUCCAUGAAGUAGGAAUCGCUAGUAAUCGCGGAUCAGAAUGCCGCGGUGAAUACGUUCCCGGGCCUUGUACACACCGCCCGUCACACCAUGGGAGUUGAUUGCACCAGAAGUGGAUAGCUUAACCUUCGGGGAGGCGUUCACCACGGUGUGGUUGAUGACUGGGGUGAAGUCGUAACAAGGUAGCCGUAGGGGAACCUGCGGCUGGAUCACCUC
rnacentral:rRNA from 1 species